rnacentral:miRNA from 1 species
UUAAGGUAAUUCAGGUU